rnacentral:rRNA from 1 species
GUCCACGCCGUAAACGAUGGAUGCUAGUCGUCGCGGGUAUUGACCCCUGCGGCAACGUAGUUAACACGUUAAGCAUCCCGCCUGGGGAGUACGGCCGCAAGGCUAAAACUCAAAGGAAUUGACGGGGGCCCGCACAAGCGGUGGAGCAUGUGGUUCAAUUCGACGCAACGCGCAGAACCUUACCUGGGUUAAAUCCACCGGAACCUCGCAGAGAUGUGGGGGUGCCCGCAAGGGAGCCGGUGAGAAGGUGCUGCAUGGCUGUCGU